UGAGUAACACGUAUCCAACCUGCCGUCUACUCUUGGCCAGCCUUCUGAAAGGAAGAUUAAUCCAGGAUGGCAUCAUGAGUUCACAUGUCCGCAUGAUUAAAGGUAUUUUCCGGUAGACGAUGGGGAUGCGUUCCAUUAGAUAGUAGGCGGGGUAACGGCCCACCUAGUCUUCGAUGGAUAGGGGUUCUGAGAGGAAGGUCCCCCACAUUGGAACUGAGACACGGUCCAA
rnacentral:rRNA from 1 species